rnacentral:rRNA from 1 species
GGUAUGACUCCGGGCAAUGGAUAUCUCAGCUCUCAUAUCGAUGAAGAAUGUAGCAAAAUGUGAUACUUGGUGUGAAUUGCAGAAUCCCGCGAACCAUCGAGUCUUUGAAUGCAAGUUAUGCCCGAGGCCACUAGGCCGAGGGCACGCCUACCUGGGCACCACGU